rnacentral:tRNA from 1 species
AGUCCCGUAGUGUAGCGGUCAAGCAUACGAGGUUCUGGGCCUUGUGACCUGGGUUCGAAUCCUGGCGGGGCUA